ACGGAGAGUUUGAUCCUGGCUCAGGAUGAACGCUGGCGGCGUGCCUAACACAUGCAAGUCGAACGAGUAAGGCGCCUUCGGGCGCGCAUAGAGUGGCGAACGGGUGAGUAACACGUGACCAACCUGCCCCCCGCCCCGGGACAACCGCCCGAAAGGGCGGCUAAUACCGGGCGAACCGGAGAGGACGCAUGCCCCCUCCGGCAAAGCGUAUGCGGCGGGGGAUGGGGUCGCGGCCCAUCAGGUAGACGGCGGGGUGACGGCCCACCGUGCCUACAACGGGUAGCCGGGCUGAGAGGCCGAUCGGCCACAUUGGGACUGAGACACGGCCCAGACUCCUACGGGAGGCAGCAGUGGGGAAUUUUGCGCAAUGG
rnacentral:rRNA from 1 species